GGUUUGAUUCUGGCUCAGAUUGAACGCUGGCGGAUGCUUUACAUGCAAGUCGAACGGCAGCACGGACUUUCGGUCUGGUGGCGAGUGGCGAACGGGUGAGUAAUGUAUCGGAACGUGCCUAGUAGCGGGAUAACUACGCGAAAGCGUAGCCAAUACCGCAUACCCUCUGGGAAAGCGGGGGACCUUCGGGCCUCGCACUAUUAGAGCGGCCGAUAUCGAUUAGUUAGUUGGUGGGGUAACGGCUCACUCAAGGCGACGAUCCGUAGCUGGUUUGAGGACGACCAGCCACACUGGGACCGAGACACGGCCCAGACUCCUACGGGAGGCAGUGGGGAAUUUUGACAAUGGGGAAACCCCUGAUCCAGCCAUCCCGCGUGUGCGAUGAAGGCCUUCGGGUUGUAAAGCACUUUGGUGCAGGAAAGAAACGGCAUCGGGAUAUCACCCCGUGCAACUGACGGUACCUGCAGAAUAAGCACCGGCUAAAUUGCCGCCAGCAGCCGCAUACGUAGGGUGGUGCGUUAAUCGAAUUACUGGUGUGAAGCGUGCGCAGGCGGUUCGGAAAGAAAGAUGUGAAAUCCCAGAGCUUAACUUUGAACUCGUAUUUUUAACUACCGAGCUAGAGGUGUCGAGAGGUGGAAUUUCCGCGUGUGCAGGUGAAAUGCAGAUAUGCGGAGGAACACCGGAUGCGAAGGCAGCUUCUGGGAUAAUGACCGACGCUCAUGUACGAAAGCGUGGGGAGCAAACAGAUUAGAUACUCCUUGGUAGUCAUUGCCUGCAACGAUGUCAACUAGCUGCUGGGGCCUUCGGGCCUUGCAGCGGAAAUAACGCGAAGUUGACCGCCUGGGAGUAUGGUCGCAAGAUUGAAAACCAAAGAAUUGACGGACUCCGGCCAGCGGUGAUGCCGGGAUUGAAUUCGAUGCAACGGCGGCGAAACCCUAUUUCACCUGACAGGUCUGGGAAUCGAAGAGAUUUGGUGCUCGGCAAGAGAACCGGAACACAGGUGCCGUAUGGCUGUCGUCAGCUCGUGUCGAGAUGCUGGGUUAAGUCUCGCAACGAGCGCAACCUUGUCAUUGGUUGCUACGAAAGGGCACUCUAAUGAGACUGGCCGGUGACAAAACCGAGGAAGGUGGGGAUGACGUCAAGUCCUCGUCUUUAAUAUGGUAGGCUUCGACGUCAUACAAUGGUCGGGACAGAGGGUCGCCAACCCGCGAGGGGGAGCCAAUCCCAGAAACCCGAUCAGAACUGGAUCGCAGUUCGCAACUCGACUGCGUGAAGUCGGAAUCGCUAGUAAUCGCGGAUCAGCAUGUCAGCAUGAAUACGUUCCGGGUCUUGUACACACUGCCCGUCACACCAUGAGUGGGUUUUACCAGAAGCAGUUAGCCUAACCGCGAGGGCGAUUACCAUUUUCGGUAGGAUUCAUGACUGGGGUGAAGUCGUAACAA
rnacentral:rRNA from 1 species